AGCUUUCUGAAUAGGUGCAGAGAUCACAUCCGAUACCAGCUCAAUAGAACUGAUGAGACUCACAAAAUCAGUGAACCG
rnacentral:pre_miRNA from 1 species